rnacentral:rRNA from 1 species
GACAUAGGUGGCGAACGUUAUCCGGAUUCACUGGGUUUAAAGGGUGCGUAGGUGGGCAGUUAAGUCAGUGGUGAAAUCUCCGGGCUCAACCCGGAAACUGCCAUUGAUACUAUCUGUCUUGAAUAUCGUGGAGGUAAGCGGAAUAUGUCAUGUAGCGGUGAAAUGCUUAGAUAUGACAUAGAACACCAAUUGCGAAGGCAGCUUACUACCCGAAUAUUGACACUGAGGCACGAAAGCGUGGGGAUCAAACAGG